rnacentral:rRNA from 1 species
UACAGAGGGGGCAAGCGUUAUUCGGAAUUAUUGGGCGUAAAGGGCGCGUAGGCGGCUUGGCAAGUGGAAGGUGAAAUCCCUCGGCUUAACCGAGGAACUGCCCUCCAAACUGCUUUGCUUGAGGCCGGGAGAGGCGAGUGGAAUUCCCAGUGUAGCGGUGAAAUGCGUUGAUAUCAUCAGGAACACCGGUGGCGAAAGCGGCUCACUGGGGCUUUUCUGACGCUGAGGGACGAAAGCUAGGGGAGCGAACGGG